CGCUGGCGGCGUGCCUAAAACAUGCAAGUCGAACGAGGUAGCAAUAUCUAGUGGCGAACGGCGGAGUAAUACAUGAACAACGUGCCCUAAAGUCCGGGACAAACGCAGAAAUGCCAUAAAUACCGGAUGUGGUGGAGAGAUGGCAUCAUCAUUCCAUUAAAUGGUUUUUCGCUUUAGGAGCGGUUCAUGGCCUAUCAGGUAGUUGGUGGGGUAAUGGCCUACCAAGCCGACGACAGGUAGCGGGUCUGAGAGGAUGAUCCGCUCGAGUGGGACUGAGACACGGCCCACACACCUACGGGUGGCAGCAGUUGGGAAUCUUGCACAAUGGGGGAAACCCUGAUGCAGCGACGCCGCGUGGAGGAUGACGGAUCUAGGUCUGUAAACUUCUUUUACCAGGGACGAAGAACGUGACGGUACCUGGAGAAAAAGCAACGGCUAACUACGUG
rnacentral:rRNA from 1 species